GCUGCUUGAAGUAGCGAAUCUGCCGUCUACACGCUGGUCGGGCGCAAGACCAAGUGUGCUCAACCGGCUAAAAGAGAUGCGGGACUUGGCAGACCCGCCGUGUGGC
rnacentral:ncRNA from 12 species